rnacentral:tRNA from 1 species
CUCUAUCCCCAAAUCCCCA